GGAAGUUUGAUGAGUUGGUUGAGGACAAAGGGGUGAAGAUCUUGAUCGAUCCCAAGGCUCUCAUGCAUGUGAUAGGAACCAAGAUGGAUUUUAUUGAUGACAAACUGAGAUCUGAAUUUGUGUUUAUCAAUCCAAAUUCUGCGGGCCAAUGUGGCUGUGGGGAGUCCUUCAUGACGAUCAGCAGCUCUGAAGCAGCAGCAGCUAAACGACCGGGGACUUGAGUUGUAUUAGCUUCCUCAACACAUCAAACAAUGUUUUACAUCAAUUACACCUAGACUAGAACUACCAAACACUUUGCUCAUUAGGAUCGCACUAGAGACUAUGUAACUUCCUCUGUAUUGUGUCUUUUUAGGCUUUUAAUGAUGAUGUAAAUCCUUCCAUCU